GAUGAACGCUAGCGGCAGGCCUAACACAUGCAAGUCGAGGGGCAGCACAGAAACAGCAAUGUUUUGGUGGCGACCGGCGGACGGGUGCGUAACGCGUAUGCAACCUACCUUUAACAGGGGGAUAACGGAGAGAAAUCUCCACUAAUACCCCAUAACAUCGAUCAAGGCAUCUUGAUUGGUUGAAAACUCCGGUGGUUAAAGAUGGGCAUGCGUUGUAUUAGGUAGUUGGUGAGGUAAUGGCUCACCAAGCCUACGAUACAUAGGGGGACUGUGCGGUUAGCCCCCCACAAUGGUACUGGGACACGGACCAGACUCAUACGGGCAGCAGCAGUGAGGAAUAUUGGUCAAUGGGGGCAACCCUGAACCAGCCAUGCCGGGUGCAGGAAGACGGCUCUAUGAGUUGUAAACUGCUUUUAAACAGGGAUAAAGCACAGUAUGUAUACUGUGUUGAAGGUACUGUAAGAAUAAGGAUCGGCUAACUCCGUGCCAGCAGCCGCAGUAA
rnacentral:rRNA from 1 species